GAUGAACGCUGGCGGCGUGCUUAACACAUGCAAGUCGAACGGAAAGGCCCAAGCUUGCUUGGGUACUCGAGUGGCGAACGGGUGAGUAACACGUGGGUGAUCUGCCCUGCACUUCGGGAUAAGCCUGGGAAACUGGGUCUAAUACCGGAUAGGACGAUGGUUUGGAUGCCAUUGUGGAAAGUUUUUUCGGUGUGGGAUGAGCUCGCGGCCUAUCAGCUUGUUGGUGGGGUAAUGGCCUACCAAGGCGUCGACGGGUAGCCGGCCUGAGAGGGUGUACGGCCACAUUGGGACUGAGAUACGGCCCAGACUCCUACGGGAGGCAGCAGUGGGGAAUAUUGCACAAUGGGCGCAAGCCUGAUGCAGCGACGCCGCGUGGGGGAUGACGGCCUUCGGGUUGUAAAAUCCUUUCGCUAGGGACGAAGCGUUUUUGUGACGGUACCUGGAGAAGAAGCACCGGCUAACUACGUG
rnacentral:rRNA from 1 species